rnacentral:rRNA from 1 species
GACGAACGCUGGCGGCGUGCCUAAUACAUGCAAGUAGAACGCUGAAGGAGGAGCUUGCUUCUCUGGAUGAGUUGCGUACGGGUGAGUAACGCGUAGGUAACCUGCCUGGUAGCGGGGGAUAACUAUUGGAAACGAUAGCUAAUACCGCAUAAUAGCAGUUGUUGCAUGACAACUGUUUGAAAGGUGCAAUUGCACCACUACCAGAUGGACCUGCGUUGUAUUAGCUAGUUGGUGGGGUAACGGCUCACCAAGGCGACGAUACAUAGCCGACCUGAGAGGGUGAUCGGCCACACUGGGACUGAGACACGGCCCAGACUCCUACGGGAGGCAGCAGUAGGGAAUCUUCGGCAAUGGGCGGAAGUCUGACCGAGCAACGCCGCGUGAGUGAAGAAGGUUUUCGGAUCGUAAAGCUCUGUUGUAAGAGAAGAACGAGUGUGAGAGUGGAAAGUUCACACUGUGACGGUAUCUUACCAGAAAGGGACGGCUAACUACGUG